UGUCUCUCCUUUGCCCUGCCACCCUCUGGAACAGGGGCUGCUGGACAACAGAGAGGAGAAAAAUAUAAAAUCACGGAGAAGAAGCCAAACCCAUGAAAAUCUACAAAUGGGUGGAUAGCCUUUGAAUAAGGAGCUGCAUCAUCUGCUCAUUACAUGCCUCUUCCCUAAACAAUGCAACCUGACUACAGAGUUUCUGCCCACACCACCUCCCAGGAGGUGGUGGAAAGGAAACCCUGGCCUGGGCCCCACAGUGUCCUACAAGGAGAGGCAUGCAGGAGAGACUGACGUGUCAGCUGUCAGCCCUGAGCCAAAGAGCUGCCGUCUCCACGGAGGCGUGCCUGGGCUCCCCCACCCUGGGAUGAAAUCAGGGUUCAGACAAGGGCCUUGAAGCCAUCCAUGGACUGACAGCAUAAUGCCCAUGACUUUCACAGUAUGUGUCUUUCAGCUGCAGAAAUAAGGGCAGGGUAAUUUUAGCUCCACAUGUGUUAGCACAACUCCAUCUCUCCUACCACCAGACUGGCUCCAGACAGAGACCCGUCGUGUUCUUCUGCAGCAGGGCACUCAGACGCUGCAGAAUCACAGACUGGGGACUUCCCUGGUCCGUUGUGUUCUUCUGCAUCAGGGCACUCAGACGCUGCAGAAUCACAGACUGGGGACUUCCCUGGUCCGUUGUGUUCUUCUGCAUCAGGGCACUCAGACGCUGCAGAAUCACAGACUGGGGACUUCCCUGGUGGUCCAGUGGCUCAAACUCCAUGUUCCCAGUGCUGGGGGCCCAGGUUCGAUCCUUGGUCAGGGAACUAGACCCCACCUGCCACAUCAAAGAUCAAAGAUCCCACCUGCUAUAACU
ensembl:lncRNA